UACGGGGGGGGCAAGCGUUGUUCGGAAUUACUGGGCGUAAAGGGCUCGUAGGUGGCCAACUAAGUCAGACGUGAAAUCCCUCGGCUUAACCGGGGAACUGCGUCUGAUACUGGAUGGCUAGAGAUUGGGAGAGGGAUGCGGAAUUCCCGGUGUAGCGGUGAAAUGCGUAGAUAUCAAGAGGAACACCUGCGGCGAAGGCGGGUUGCUGGGCCGACACUGACGCUGAGGCGCGAAAGCCAGGGGAGCGAACGGG
rnacentral:rRNA from 1 species